CCUCCACCGUAGCCAGAAAAUGGUGAAGCCUGAUGAUGUAAUGAGAAUCAGGUGGUGUCCCAUUUCUUAGCGGCUUCUUCCACUUGGCCCUCAGAUUUAAGGGGUAGAGGAAGGGAUUCAGACGGAUUCAUUGUCUGAUACAGCACUGUUAUUAUACUCCCACUAAUGUGUGCUAAACGCACCCUUGGUUUAUAUUACCAACCUAGCUUCCAUGGUCAUUAAUCAUCAUUGUAAUGACUUAGUUUCACCGCUAGAGGGGUUUAGAGCCCAGACAGACACCCUUGACGUGCUGCUGCUGUAGUAGGAAGUAGCACUAGAUGUGGAAUCAAUGUACCCAGGAACAAAGUUCAGGAGUUCCCAUUCCAGACUGUCCUGUGCUGUGCCGGACUGGCCCGCCUGGUGUAAACCUGAAGGUAUACGGCGGGGGUCUUCAAUUAAAAUUGAAGGCGCCAGUCCCGAGUGUACCCCGCCUCUCGCCCAAAGUAAGCUGGGGUAGGCUUCAGCACGCCCUUACGACCCCCCCCCCCCCGCAUAGAAAACGAAUGGAUGGACAAACAUCGGCAUCGGAACUUGUUUGGCACCAGAGUAAACAUACCAGCACAGCUCGGAAUGACAGUUAAGACGGCGGACCACCCCUUCCUACCCCCCCCCCCCCCCUCCCCACUCCACCCUCCAGCCUGUCGCCACCGACCCGAUCCAAACACAACGUGGGUGCAGACAGAGCGGCAGGCCGGAGGUGACAUCGCUCGUUAUUCCUCCUUGUGAGCAAAACACGGAGAGAAGCGGCGACGACAACCUUUGGACCACCGAGGUGGUCCGAGGACACGUCAGAGACCAGGACGUCAUAAAAGUCCGGAUUUAUUCUGGAAAGGAAAGAAACUGUACAAUCAUCACAAAGCCAAUUCCACUCACUGGUGUCACUGUCCCUUUAAGAAGAGGAAAGGAACAACAUAUGACCUUUUUUGGUUGGUGGGCGGGGCCUCCAUGAAAACAAACGUCCAAGAUUCCAAGCCAUAAAAUGUCUUGAUACUCAACACAAAGGACGGCAACAACAAAAAAGCUUUUGGAAAACAUUUGGAAAUUCCCACAGAUGUGGGUAGUUAUCGGGAAGAAAAAACAAUCGUUCCAAACGAUCUGAAAGCUUUUUAUUUGCUUUCUUGAGUUACAAGACAAAAACGUUUAGGCUGCAGGGAAGGGAAUGUCGCUUGUGGACAGAAUCUCAGCUUCCAUGCGGGGACGGCUUCGUGCAAAGCUUAAGACCAAAAUAACUCGGUGAAAUCACCGCUUGUGAUCGUAUUUGAUGAAAACAUCUGAUGUUAGCCGUGUGCUAGCUAGCUAGCUAGCUCAGUGUGUGUGUUUACAUAAGUGCUUCAUCAAGUCUUUUAUUUCUUUUGCGGCAAACUCAAAAAGUUUGUUCCUGGCGCUUUAGUGCAAAAUAUUCUCCGUCCUGAGGGCCCCAAGGGAAGAUUUUUUAUUUUUUAAUGAUUUGUCUAUGAAUUUAGUAGGAAAUCAUACAAAAAUGAUGUAAUGUGCUUGGUACCAAACAUUCCACAAAGAUUGCAGAAACAGAACAGAACCUCUGUUUAUGUUUUUAAUGCCCAAAAUAUGUAAAUCUAAUUCAUCUGUUCCAGAUACCCAUAAAUAUGAACUAAAAUAUUUUUUAUAAGGAAUAAUAAUUGCAAAAAUAAUUGCAAAAGAGGAAUGGGUGGAAGAUAUUCUUGUACAUUCUGCCGAGGGGGAAUUGAAUGAUGUUUCUCACCUCCUUUAUCAAAGUGCUGGGACCUCGUUUGGCCCCGUGGUGGGUUAUACAGCAGCUGUACUCCAUAAAAAAACAGCGAGUCAGCAACAUUUAGGGUGCUUUGGUGGGCACGCCAUUUCCUAGCACAGGGUAAGGGACCAGUUCAGGUGCAAAACAGUCAAAAAAAAAAAAAAAUUGGCAAAGAUUUUAGACAAAAACAGAAUGAUAUGAUAACUGGGGAGUACAAAAAUAACCUUCCAAAAAAAGUUUUUAUGCCCAUUUUAAAAAUGUUGACCACAGUUUGACCCUGGAACAGAUUAUUACUAAAUAAUUUAUUCAUUCAUUUUCUACCGCUUUUCCUCACGAGAGUUGCAGGGGGGUGCUGGAGCCUAUCCCAGCUGUCUUUGGGCGAGAGGCAGGGUACGCCCUGGACUGGUGGCCAGCCAAUCACAGGGCACAUAUAGACAAACAACCAUUCACACUCACAUUCAUACCUAUGGACAAUUUGGAGUGGCCAAUUAACCUCGCAUGUUUUUGGAAUGUGGGAGGAAACCGGAGUACCCGGAGAAAACCCACGCAUCCACGGGGAGAACAUGCAAACUCCACACAGAGAUGGCCGAGGGUGGAAUUGAACCCUGGUCUCCUAGCUGCGAGGUCUGCGCGCUAACCACUCGACCACCGUGCCGCCCGGAUUGGAAGUUCUAAAUAGUAAAAGUGAAGCAACCUCCUGGAUGCAUACUAAUUAUGCUAAUUAGAUUAGAAAUAUUACUAAAAUGGGUAAAUAUGGAAUGCCGGAUGAGACAAAUAGUAAAAAAGAAAUAAAAUGCACAAUUUUCUGUGGAAAAUCCUACUAAAUUCAGAUUUUUUUGGAAUACUGAAUGUGCAAGAUGGGACAAAUGUUACAAAAAUGAGAAGCCCUAAAAUCGCUAGCAUUGAUAUCGAUAUCGGCCGAUUUCACUCAUGUAUCAUCAGUAUCGGCAGCAUAAAACCCUGAUGGGAACGUCCUUAGUAAAAAAAAUAGUAAAAAAUGAACCUUUUUGUCACCUGAAAAUUGUGAAUGAAUUUUCAUCCAAAAUCCUUCUAAGCGAUUUGCUGACAAAGUUCUGAAAGUAGCGUCGUCGGAGAACGAUAAGAUGGAAGCAAAUUGGUAUCACUUCAAUGUUUUUAAUAGAAAUUCCACCAUUUUUGUAUAAAAUGUGCUGGAAGCGACGUCAUAGAGGAUAUGACAAAGACUUUUUUUUAUUUUUACAAAUUGCACAUAACUUUUUGCACAAAAUCCUACUGAAUUCAUUUUUCCGAAUAUGAAAUGUUCUAGCAGCGACGUAACAGAGGAUGACACAGAUGGUAAAAAGAGACGUCCAAGUCCGCUAAAAAAAUGGAAAAUUCUUUUUUUUUUUUAAAAAAAGAAAUUGCACUCAUUUUUGUACAAAAUGCUACUAAAUUCAUUUUGAAUAAGAAUAGGUUGAAUAAGGUUGUGUUGCCAGUUAUGAGCCAAUCAGGCGAGAGGAUGAGGUCAUGUGAUGUCUUUCAUGGAGGAUGACCAAUAAGUGCUUCGAUAAAUCUUAACUACGAAGAUGAAAAAGGACAAGAAGAGGCGAGCGUCAAACACUCGGACAAACUUUCACAAAGUCGUCUCUUUUACGGAAGCGAAUCCAGAAGAUCCGAGGGGGUCGGGAAUG